GACGAACGCUGGCGGCGUGCCUAAUACAUGCAAGUUGAGCGCUGAAGGUUGGUACUUGUACCAACUGGAUGAGCAGCGAACGGGUGAGUAACGCGUGGGGAAUCUGCCUUUGAGCGGGGGACAACAUUUGGAAACGAAUGCUAAUACCGCAUAAAAACUUUAAACACAAGUUUUAAGUUUGAAAGAUGCAAUUGCAUCACUCAAAGAUGAUCCCGCGUUGUAUUAGCUAGUUGGUGAGGUAAAGGCUCACCAAGGCGAUGAUACAUAGCCGACCUGAGAGGGUGAUAGGCCACAUUGGGACGGAGACACGGCCCAAACUCCUACGGGAGGCAGCAGUAGGGAAUCUUCGGCAAUGGACGAAAGUCUGACCGAGCAACGCCGCGUGAGUGAAGAAGGUUGUCGGAUCGUAAAACUCUGUUGGUAGAGAAGAACGUUGGUGAGAGUGGAAAGCUCAUCAAGUGACGGUAACUACCCAGAAAGGGACGGCUAACUACGUG
rnacentral:rRNA from 1 species